GGAGCUUAUGCUCAUCAUACCUAUGAUGUUUUUUUGUUUUUUUAUGAAUCCUUUCAUUCAGUCAUUGAACAUUAUGUCUUCUGCAGUAUUAAACACAUAGCUUAUUUGACAACGGUAAUCCAACAUUAAUUUUUAGGCAUCCCUAGAUCUAAUAUUGCAAUGACAUUUACCCUAUAGGCAACCAAGGAAGACAUUGUACUGUAUUUUUUUUGUCCAAUCCAAUGGUCUCAUUGAAUAAAAUAACCAGGAAGAAGAGAAUGCUGUGCAAACAUGUUCUAACUUCGUUAUAUGCAAGUGAAAAGUUGAAGGGCAUAUUUACGGAAAUACAAAGGAAGGAACAAAUAAAACACUUUGUUAAUACAUUAUUUAAAGUUCACCAUAACAGUAGAGCAUCUAAAUAAUACAGUAAAAUGAAUAAAAUAUAGAUUUGAAUAGAUAUACUAUAAAUACAGAUACAAUUUACAUAAAUGGUAGUUAUAGAGACAAGCAUUCCUUAAGUUUACUUUUUGGAGGAGGAAGGAUUUUCCUCUUUUAUUAUGUUAUUAUUUAUUUUUUAAGCACUUCUGCUACGAAAGCACAUAGUUAGAAUACUUAAUGGCAAAUAGUUAUUUCGAUAUUUCAUCUAAAUGUAACCAGCAAUAAUUAUAUCUCCUGUAAAAUAAUACGCUACUGCUAUUCUGAGUCUUGCUUACAAGAAAAUUAAUUGUAGUGAGUUGAUAAUGCAUUUAAUAAUAAGAUUAUGACAAAAAUAACUUAGAAAAAUAUCUCAGCAAUCACAAUCUAUAAGUUUUUUUUCAUCCAACUCGAUUAUUUUGCAGCUCUCCAUAUCCCUAUUUCAUGAAGAAUUUUGAAAGGUUUUUAAUUAAAGUGUCUUGAAACGAUUGGAAUAAUAUCAUCAGCUUAUAUAUGUAUAUUAUGUGAAUAGAUAAUUUGAUACAUGGUCAACAUAUUACUUGUGGAAUGAAGCAGAUUUCUAAAUCCUUUUGGAUAUGUUAUAAUAAAUAAAUCCUUGUCAUUUUGUCGUACUUUAAAAUAAAUUAUUGCUGAGAUAGUGUGCAAUUUGAAUACAAAAUAAUCUUGAAUUUGUAUGUUACCUUAAUCAUGUACAGGCAAUUAAAAAUAAAGAUUGGUAGAUUAUACUGCAAAUUCAGAUUGCCUUAAUUUUAAUUUGUGUUUUACAAUUUGCACUUUAACUGUUUCUUC